UGAGUAACCUGCCCCAGGCUUUGGGAUAACCCUCGGAAACGGGGGUUAAUACCGGAUAUUCAUUGCUGGCCGCAUGGUUGGUGGUGGAAAGAUUUUUGGCGUGGGAUGGGCUCGCGGCCUAUCGGCUUGUUGGUGGGGUGAUGGCCUACCAAGGCGGUGACGGGUAACCGGCCUGAGAGGGCGACCGGCCACACUGGGACUGAGACACGGCCCAGACUCCUACGGGAGGCAG
rnacentral:rRNA from 1 species